AAUGUGCCAUGCCAAGGUGCUUGUAUUGUGAAAGAGUGGUUUCAAGAACAUGAGGGAGACUUUACCUUGCUUAGGUGGCCCCCACAAUCAUCAGAUCUCAAUCCAUUUGAGCAUUUGUAAGAUGAAGUUAAAAGAGCCACCAGGCAGCUGCUUCCACAACCAUCAAAUCUCACAGAACUGGACAGUGCUAUUCAUCAGGCAUGGUGUAAAAUUCCUCGCAUCUCCUUUCAACAUCUCAUAUAGUCAAUGCCAAGAAAAAUCACCGCAGUAUUGAAGGCAAAAGGUGGCCCAAUGAAGUACUGAUGGUGUGGUCAUAAUAAUCUGGCCACUCAUGUUCAAAUAUUUCCCACA